UCUGCCUGGUAGUGGGGGAUAACGUUCGGAAACGGACGCUAAUACCGCAUACGUCCUACGGGAGAAAGCAGGGGACCUUCGGGCCUUGCGCUAUCAGAUGAGCCUAGGUCGGAUUAGCUAGUUGGUGGGGUAAUGGCUCACCAAGGCGACGAUCCGUAACUGGUCUGAGAGGGUGAUCAGUCACACUGGAACUGAGACACGGUCCAGACUCCUACGGGAGGCAGCAGUGGGGAAUAUUGGACAAUGGGCGAAAGCCUGAUCCAGCCAUGCCGCGUGUGUGAAGAAGGUCUUCGGAUUGUAAAGCACUUUAAGUUGGGAGGAAGGGUUGUAGAUUAAUACUCUGCAAUUUUGACGUUACCGACAGAAUAAGCACCGGCUAACUCUGUGCCAGCAGCCGCGGUAAUACAGAGGGUGCAAGCGUUAAUCGGAAUUACUGGGCGUAAAGCGCGCGUAGGUGGUUUGUUAAGUUGGAUGUGAAAUCCCCGGGCUCAACCUGGGAACUGCAUUCAAAACUGACUGACUAGAGUAUGGUAGAGGGUGGUGGAAUUUCCUGUGUAGCG
rnacentral:rRNA from 1 species